UUGCAACACCAAUUCCAAUACAAUCACUAAAGUUAAGCAACACUGAGCCUGGUCAGUACCUAGGUGGGUGACCAUAUGGGAAUAUCAGGUGCUGUAAG